rnacentral:pre_miRNA from 2 species
AGUGAGAUUGCUGAGUCAUAUGGUAAGUGCGUAUUUAACUUUAUAAGAAACUACCAAAUUGCUUUCCAAAGUGGAUGUACCAUUUUUCAUUCCCACCAACAAU